rnacentral:lncRNA from 1 species
UGGGAAAGGAGAGAGAGACAAGAAAUGCAUCAGGAGAGGUACAUAGAGACCAGACUCUUCAGGAACUUAUAGCUCAUGAUGACAGUAGUUUGCUCAACAAAUAGAGCCAAGAUUCAAAACCAGGACUUGCUGACAUCAAUGCGGAUGUUUCUUCCAUUAUUCAACACUUCUAGCUCUUAAUUUCAUUCAGCACUCCUCGAUUUCAGGACGUUCUAUGACUCCCCCACAGAAUAUGUCAACCUCAGUGGAGAAAAUUUGUCUAUGUAAAACCUAAAUGCAUUUAUUUACACAUUUCCUAUUGCUACUUUUCCAUGCCUUUUUCUCCUAUGCCAGAUAUGUACUAAGCAUCUGUUGAAUAAAUAAAUGACUA